rnacentral:lncRNA from 1 species
GACGACUCACUUCAUAGUUCAUACCUAUGUGCCUACCACAUGCGCUACGUGUAUGUUGUGUACUAAUGAAAAUAUAUUAAUUACUUAUGUGUAGAUCAAACACCGGACGACUUGCUUCAUUUUCCUAACGAGAAGAAUGUUUGUAACUCCGAGCCACGCUUGAUAGAAAAGAAAGCAUUCUACAUCAUGUUACUGUUUUC